rnacentral:rRNA from 1 species
GUUUUCGGAUGGAAUCUUGAUUGACUGAGUGGCGGACGGGUGAGUAACGCGUGGAUAACCUGCCUCACACUGGGGGAUAACAGUUAGAAAUGACUGCUAAUACCGCAUAAGCGCACAGUGCCGCAUGGCAGUGUGUGAAAAACUCCGGUGGUGUGAGAUGGAUCCGCGUCUGAUUAGCCAGUUGGCGGGGUAACGGCCCACCAAAGCGACGAUCAGUAGCCGACCUGAGAGGGUGACCGGCCACAUUGGGACUGAGACACGGCCCAAACUCCUACGGGAGGCAGCAGUGGGGAAUAUUGCACAAUGGGCGAAAGCCUGAUGCAGCGACGCCGCGUGAGUGAAGAAGUAUUUCGGUAUGUAAAGCUCUAUCAGCAGGGAAGAAAAUGACGGUACCUGACUAAGAAGCCCCGGCUAACUACGUGCCAGCAGCCGCGGUAAUACGUAGGGGGCAAGCGUUAUCCGGAUUUACUGGGUGUAAAGGGAGCGUAGACGGCGAAGCAAGUCUGAAGUGAAAACCCAGGGCUCAACCCUGGGACUGCUUUGGAAACUGUUUUGCUAGAGUGUCGGAGAGGUAAGUGGAAUUCCUAGUGUAGCGGUGAAAUGCGUAGAUAUUAGG